rnacentral:pre_miRNA from 1 species
UAUUAAAAAUUUUAUCCAAUUCUAUUAUUAAAAACUGGCAUGGUAGACAGAAUAAACAAACAGUGACAAGUGAUGCGCCACAUGUAUCUCAUGCUAACGUACAGAAAUCAAUUUUUAACAAUAGAAAUAGUGAAUUUUUUAACA